CGCCUGGGCCCCAUCUCCACCGACGCUGUCACAGCCCUGGUGUCACCAGAGGAGGAACUACCAUCCCAGCCCCGCCUGGGAGAGCUCACAGCCUCCCACAUCACCCCUGUCUCCAUCCAGCUUGCCUGGACUGUCCUCAAGGGCACCUUUGACUCCUUCACGGUGCAGUACAGGGAUGCACAAGGCCAGCCUCAAGCACUUGCUGUUGAUGGCGGGUCACGCACAGUGACUGUGCCCAACCUAGUGCCUUCCCAUCGCUACAAGUUCAACCUGUACGGGGUGUGGGGACGGAAACGAAUUGGUCUCAUCUCUACUGAAGUUGUUACAGCCUUGGCACCACCCCAGGAAGAACCGCCUGCCCCGCCCCUCCUGGGAGAGCUCACAGCCUCCCACGUCACCCCCAACUCUGUCCAGCUGGAGUGGACGGUGCCCGAGGGCACCUUUGACUCCU